rnacentral:rRNA from 1 species
ACGCACGCUGGCGGCGUGCUUAACACAUGCCAGUCGCACGGAAAGGCCCUGCUUUUGUGGGGUGCUCGAGUGGCGAACGGGUGAGUAACACGUGAGUAACCUGCCCUUGACUUUGGGAUAACUUCAGGAAACUGGGGCUAAUACCGGAUAGGAGCUCCUGCUGCAUGGUGGGGGUUGGAAAGUUUCGGCGGUUGGGGAUGGACUCGCGGCUUAUCAGCUUGUUGGUGGGGUAGUGGCUUACCAAGGCUUUGACGGGUAGCCGGCCUGAGAGGGUGACCGGCCACAUUGGGACUGAGAUACGGCCCAGACUCCUACGGGAGGCAGCAGUGGGGAAUAAUGCACAAUGGGCGGAAGCCUGAUGCAGCAACGCCGCGUGCGGGAUGACGGCCUUCGGGUUGUAAACCGCUUUCGCCUGUGACGAAGCGUGAGUGACGGUAAUGGGUAAAGAAGCACCGGCUAACUACGUG